rnacentral:rRNA from 1 species
GACGUAGGGGGCGAGCGUUAUCCGGAUUUACUGGGCGUAAAGGGCGCGUAGGCGGACGAUUUCGCCACCAUUGAAAGGGCGCGGCUUAACCGCGCUUGGGUGGUGGGACGAGUGGUCUAGGGGCAAGCAGAGGAAGGUGGAAUUCCGGGUGGAGUGGUGAAAUGCGUAGAGAUCCGGAGGAACACCAGGGGCGAAGGCGGCCUUCUGGGCUUGACCCGACGCUGAGGCGCGAAAGCGUGGGGAGCGAACUGA